GGGCGGGGCGGAGAGCGGCCCUGCGGUGCGGGGCGGGUGGGCGGGGCGGAGCCCAGCCCUGCGGUGCGGGUGGGCGGG
rnacentral:miRNA from 1 species